GAGGAAGGUGGGGAUGACGUCAAAUCAUCAUGCCCUUUAUGUCCUGGGCUACACACGUACUACAAUGGCCGCUACAGAGGGAAGCGAAGUGGUGACGCUAAGCAAAACCCAAAAAACGGUCUCAGUUCGGAUUGAAGGCUGAAAUUCGCCUUCAUGAAGCCGGAAUUGCUAGUAAUGGCAGGUCAGCAUACUGCCGUGAAUACGUUCCCGGGCCUUGUACACACCGCCCGUCACACCAUGAGAGUUGGGGAUACCCGAAGCCUGUGAGCUAACUUUUAGAGGCAGCAGUCGAAGGUAGAAUCAAUGAUUGGGGUGAAGUCGUAAC
rnacentral:rRNA from 1 species